rnacentral:misc_RNA from 1 species
AGCUCAGUGGCACUGUUACCUGAAUUUUCAUGCAGAGAUAGGACAUUUUAUAAUUGGUAGUUGCAUCACAAAUUAUUUUAUUAAAGUAUCAAGAAGUUAGAUUGUGUAUAGUGUUGAAGUUGCUGGCCUUUUCUAAUGUCUUGGUAUUUUAGUGUUCUUGGUGUUUUAGUAAGGUUUUCCUAUCCUUUUUUUAUCUAAUAAAAUCUUUUUCUUAAAAAAAAAAAAAACAUUAUCACUGGUUAGUCCCUAAGGAAUUUGGUUCAAUCCUUCCAAAUAUGGCCUUUAUAAAAAUGUCAAGGAAUAGUUUUGACUUUUGAUGGUAAUCUUCCUUCUUCAAUUGGUGAGAUAGGAGGACUAUCUUUUCUGGAUUUGUCUAAUAAUAAAUUCUCAUAAGAGUUGCUGGAAGGAAGUUUGCGAAUUGUACCGAUUUAGAUAUAUUAAUUCUAUCAAGCACCAAUUUUCAAGGGAAGAUUUUUCCCAAGAAUAUGAACAUGAGAGACUUGAGGGUCUUAAAAUGAAUAAUAACAACUUCAGUGGGAUGGUUGUAGACUAGUUGAACAGUCCAUUGCUAACUGUUUUGGACUUAUCCAAUAAUAAGGUAUUAAGUGCAAUUUUGAUUCAGCUAUGUUAAUCUGAGCAUUCUUGAAAUUUUAAAACUCUCACUUAAUAGGUUAUGUGGUCUAUGCCUUCUUACUUCAACGCUUCAACUUUGCGAUUCUUGUUUCUUGAAAAGAAUAGUUUAAGUGGUUCUAUACCCUAUGUGCUUUCUAAAAUUCAUAAUUUAAUGGCACUGGAUCUAAGUGACAAUAGGUUAUCUAGAAAAAUUCCACCUUGGAUCUGCCAGCUUUCCAAAUUGUGAGUUCUUUUUGUUAUAGUCGGCAUGCAAAUCUAAGACAUAUACAAAUCGCACAAUCGCACAGUAUAGAAAAAAAUAAGAAGAAUAA